UGUUUUUUUCAGAUUGGUGAAGUACUAUAAACUCCAACACAAAACUUUGUCUAAAGGCUUUAAGCAAGUAUUUAAUAAACUAGAAACGUUCUACAUAAUACACGGU